rfam:Triticum aestivum genome assembly, contig: Triticum_aestivum_CS42_TGACv1_scaffold_271725_3DS
CUUCCGGUUCCUUUCGGAACUAUUCAGAAUAUUAACAAAACUAUUU